rnacentral:rRNA from 1 species
UACGGAGGGUGCGAGCGUUGUCCGGAAUCAUUGGGCGUAAAGGGCGCGUAGGUGGCCGAGCAAGGUCGCGGUGAAAGCCCGGGGCUCAACCCCGGGUCGGCCGUGGCAACUACUUGGCUAGAGCACUGUAGGGGCGGGUGGAAUUCCGGGUGUAGCGGUGAAAUGCGCAGAUAUCAGGAGGAACACCAAUGGCGAAGGCAGCUCGCUGGGACGUGACUGACGCUGAGACGCGAAAGCGUGGGGAGCAAACAGG